AGGAUGAACGCUGGCGGCGUGCCUAACACAUGCAAGUCGAACGUCCUGUCUCGCAAGAGGCAGGGAGUGGCGGACGGGUGAGUACCACGUGGGUUAUCUACCGUGAGGUGAGGAAUACCGGCGAGAAAUCGCCGACAAGACCGCAUAGGCUCGAUGCAAGUCGAGCAAAGCUCGCUCGCAAGAGGGAGCGCCACACGAGGAGCCUGCGCCCGAUUAGCUCGCUGGUGGAGUAAUGGUUCACCAGGGCGACGAUCGGUAGCUGGUCUGAGAGGACGAUCAGCCACACUGGGAUUGAGAACGGCCCAGACUCCUACGGGGGGCAGCAGUGAGGAAUUUUCGUCAAUGGGGGCAACCCUGAACGAGCAACGCCGCGUGCAGGAAGAAGGUUUUCGGAUCGUAAACUGCUUUUCUCGGGGAAGAGAACGGACGGUACCCGAGGAAGAAGCCCCGGCUAACUACGCGCCAGCAGCCGCGGUAA
rnacentral:rRNA from 1 species